rnacentral:lncRNA from 1 species
AAAGAGCAUACAUGGUCUGGUCUUAGUAAGAGAGGAUGUGCUUAUCCUGCAGAGACUUGAUGCACCAUGGUGGGGGAUACCAAGGCGGAUAUGGGGCUGCCCUCUCAGAGGCAAAAGGGAGGGGAGGAACUGCACAAGGAGGGACCAAGGGUAGCAACAUUUGGGAUAUAAAUAAGUAAAUAAUUAAAAAUAAAUAAAAUGCACACGUUAAAUAUACAUAUAUAUUACACAAUGUAUAUAAUAUGUAUAUAUAAUUUAUAUCAUCUUACUAGUUACAGAAACAUAAUAUGUAGCUUUUUAUAAAAUUCACUAAAAUUUAAUUUUAUUUUAAUACAUUAAAAAUAAGUUUAACAAAUUAAAAAUGAAUUAAAAUAGAAAAUGGACACCCACACUCAUUAAAGAAACUUUAGUAAAGCUGAUAGCAUACAUUGUACCACACACAGUAAUAGUGGGAGACUUCAACACCCCACUUUGGGCAAUAAGCAAAUCAUGGAAACAGAAACUAAACAGAGACACCGAGAAACUAACAGAAGUUAUGAACCAAAUGGAUUUAACAGAAAACUAUAGAACAUUUCAUCCUAAAAGAAAAGAAUAUACCUUCUUCUCAGCACCUCAUGAUACCUUCUCCAAAACUGACCAUAUAAUAGGUCACAAAACAGGCCUCAACAGAUUCAAGAUCAAAAUAAUCCCAUGCAUCCUAUCAGAUCACCAUGAACUGAG